rnacentral:snRNA from 1 species
CCUCGUCAUCUAAUUAGUGACGC